rnacentral:RNase_P_RNA from 2 species
GCUAGGAAGUGUGGUGACGCUACGUUCAGUUACAUGAACGUAGAGGAAAGUCCAGACUGCUGAAAGCAGGGUGCUCCGGUAAUACCGGGAGCUCCGAUGGGCAAGGCCAACGGAGACAGUGAAGCCACAGAGACGAGAAACAUGAAACGACCUUGGCACCAACGUCGCCAAGGGCUUGGGUAAUUCUCCCCGCAGCAACUUCCGAACUGGCCGCUUGAGGACGCUUUCCCGAGGCCAAAAGUUUGAAGGCAUUAGACAGAUGUCACCAAUAACAGAAUCUGGCUUACCGCUUCCUAGCGCUU